UUUGUGGGGUAUGGCCUACNNGCUUUGACGGGUAGCUCGGCCCUGANAGGGUGACCGGCCACACUGGGACUGAGACACGGCCCAGACUCCUACGGGAGGCAGCAGUGGGGAAUAUUGGACAAUGGGCGGAAGCCUGAUCCAGCAACGCCGCGUGAGGGAUGACGGCCUUCGGGUUGUAAACCUCUUUCAGCACAGACGAAGUUGGUGGUGACGGUAUGUGCAGAAGAAGCACCGGCCAACUACGUGCCAGCAGCCGCGGUAAUACGUAGGGUGCGAGCGUUGUCCGGAAUUAUUGGGCGUAAAGGGCUCGUAGGCGGUUUGUCGCGUCGGGAGUGAAAUCCACUGGCUUAACUGGUGGCUUGCUUUCGAUACGGGCAGACUGGAGGUAUGCAGGGGAGAACGGAAUUCCUGGUGUAGCGGUGAAAUGCGCAGAUAUCAGGAGGAACACCGGUGGCGAAGGCGGUUCUCUGGGCAUGUCCUGACGCUGAGGAGCGAAAGUGUGGNGAGCGAACAGGAUUANAUACCCUGNUANUCCACACCGUAAACGUUGNNCGCUAGGUGUGGNAUCCAU
rnacentral:rRNA from 1 species